CUGAGAGCAGGGCAGAGUUUUUGCAUCCACCAGGCAUUCUUCAUGUCAUGUGUUGCACAAACUAGGGGCUAGGUAAGUAAUUUUUGAAUGAAUAUAAUUGGGCCACUUGUAACAAAUAAACUUUUCUCCCCAUUCAGUUAAAAUAGGGUUAACUUCAUUGUUGGAGGGGCACAAAUUCAGCACACAACAAAUUCAGAGAGCCAGCAGAUCCUGGAACUCUGUCAAAGUGUUUCAGGAUGUUUAUUCAAAUCUGCUGUUUUCUCUAUGCAUACACAGGCGCACUUAGAAUUGAUGUGCCCUGGGAGAGCUGGCAUUCGUCAAGAUUUCUAAGCCAUUACUUUUUCUAUGGACCCUGGCUGAUGCUUCCUUCAAAAAAUGUGAAAGGCCUGCUAAUUUCUUCUAAUGAAGAAACAACAGAGACCUGCAAGAUUAUUUUGCGCCUAUCCCAUUUAUGGACUGCCAACCUUGAUUCCUGAUAGCAGAGCUAAGAUCUAGAACUUGAAGCCUGAAUGACAUGGUUUGGUGAAGACUAUGCAGUUAUUGAUUGGCAAAACCAGGAUUUGAAUUAAGCUUUUAUGACUCUAAUGAAAAAGCUCUUUCCAGAAAUUUAUUGCUCCAUAUCCUUGUUAAUAAAUAAUAAAGCUCA
rnacentral:lncRNA from 13 species